GGCGGUUCUCGGGUGACGCAUCCCAAAAUUGGGGUCCCUCCUCUCUGGUUCCGGGUAAUCACCGGAGAACCGCA
rfam:Myotis davidii contig133131, whole genome shotgun sequence.